rnacentral:lncRNA from 1 species
AUGGCUAAAUUUUCAGCGUUAAAUUUAGCCUCAAUUAAAGAUUGUGCAGUUGUUUAUUUAGAUAAAGAUAUCGAUUUAAGUGACAAAUAUAUUCAUAUUAUAUUUUUAUCAACGUCAAAAAACGAAGAAGAUAAUUUAAAAACAGAUACAACAAAAGAACCUAAUUAUACUGUUUAUGAAAAUGUAGCGACGCAAGAGCAUUUAAAGAGUACUAAAUUGUGUGUCCAUAGUGAUAUUGAAAAAAGUCUAGAAACGUGUAUUGACAAACAUGAUUCUAAACUUGAUUCUGAUGACAAAGAAAACAACAAUAACAACAGUAACACUUCAUCAACUUUACGUACCGUAAAAAAUAUAACAAAUUUAAAACCAAACGAACAAAAUACUAAUGAAGAAACACAAAAUACCAGCACCAAUUUAAACGAAAAGAAAAAGUCAAAUGACAAAAAAGAAACUAUAAAUACAUAUGAAAGAAAAGAAUUAACAAAUAACAUACACAAUCCAAUAACGAACCCACGAUUAGUUGUUUACAUAAAAGCUAAUAGUAAAAUAAAUAUAUACGAAUCACACAUAUCAUUAAAUAACAAUAAUGGUGGAUUAGUUAAUGCAUUUUCUAGAAUAAAAUUAGAGGAAAAAACAAAUGUUAAUCACAUAUUAUCACAAGAGUUAGGUAAAAAUGUAUGGUAUUUUCAUAAUGUUUCAGUACAAAAUGGAUUACAAGGAAAUUACAAAUUUGUUGAUGUACUUUUAGGUAGUUUGUCAUCAAGAGUAAAUUUACAAAUAGAAGGAGAAAAAGGAUGUAAACAAGAAAGUUAUGGAUUAUCUUUAUUAGAAAAUAAACAAAAUAUUAGUCAAUAUGAAAUGUUUCAUCAUGAACAUCCUUCUAUGGAAACAAACCAAUUGUUUAAAGCAUUAGUGUCAGACAAAGGACAUUCUAUUUGGAGAAGUAGAGGUAGAAUUGAACGCAAUGCAAUAAAUGCUAAAUUGAACACUUUAUGUAGGGCUGUUUUAUUAAACCAUGGUGCUAGUGCUAUUGCUAUUCCUACCCUUGAAAUUAUUCCUAGUGAUAUACAAAGUGCUAAUCAUGGAGCAACUAUUACUGAUUUAGAACAAGAACCAAUUUUUUCAUUGAUGACAAGAGGUAUAAAUGAAAAUAUUGCUAGAAAUAUUAUGAUGAAAGCAUUUGUUGAUGAAAUUUUAGUACAUAUACCUGAUGAAAAUCUUAAACAUAGAGUACAUCAAAAAGUUUUACAAUUUUCUUCAAAGUAUAAAAAAACAUCUUUUCAAAUUUUAAACAAAAAAAACGAAUGA